ensembl:lncRNA
CAACUAAAGAAGAGAGGGAGUGUGGUGAUGUAGUGUCCACAACUAAAGAAGAGAGGGUGUGUGGGGAUGUAGUGGUGAUGUAGUGGUGAUGUAGUGUCCACAACUAAAGAAGAGAGGGAGUGUGGGGAUGUAGUGGUGAUGUAGUGGUGAUGUAGUGUCCACAACUAAAGAAGAGAGGGAGUGUGGGGAUGUAGUGGUGAUGUAGUGGUGAUGUAGUGUCCACAACUAAAGAAGAGAGGGAGUGUGGUGAUGUAGUGUCCACAACUAAAGAAGAGAGGGAGUGUAGUGAUGUAGUGUCCACAACUAAAGAAGAGAGGGAGUGUGGUGAUGUAG